AUUCAGCUGACGAGUUCUGAAUAGGACGGAACACGCGUCUUGGGU
rnacentral:hammerhead_ribozyme from 1 species